UGUCUCCCACACUCCCUGUGAGUAACCCUUCACCUAGGCACCUAUAAAUGAGAUCUGCAAACUCGUUGGUUCGCCCUCUGGACUUGGCAUCUUUUCCUCGUCUGCUGUUGGUGCCAUGUCUGGGGAGAACAAGCAUUUGUUCAUUGUCCAUCACUUUCUCAUCUCCCUGGGGGAAGUCCUGUAGCACAAAAUGUAUCUCCAAUGACCUAUUUCCAAAUUGUAUCCUAUGAUAAAGUUUCUGGGAAGGAUGUGAAUUUAUUUGAAGGGGUUGUUAUUUAACCCCGUACACACCCCCAACACAUGGUGAGUUCUCCUCUGGUCAAACAGAAUGAAAACAAUGAGGUGGUCCAGUGAAGAAAGGCUCAGUAAGUCCUGUUAGGAUCCAAUCCAUUCCCCCAUCUACUUGAACGUCGUUCAAGGGGGCUCUAGAAAACGAUCACCUCCAUUCACCUUGGAGGACCAAGGCUUAUUAAAAAUGGGGAUUUCUGGGCUAGACUCCAGUUGCACUGGGUCAGAACCGCUAAGUGUAGAAGCCAGGAAGGUGUAUUUUAACCAAUAGUGGAGGGAGUCUAUCCCCAUGGAAAUUUGAGAAGCACCGAUCUACAGUGUCAGACAGGUCUGUCUUAUAGCUCCCUGAGGAGCCUCUCAGAUCCAUCCCUCAUCUUCCCUUCUUUACAGGUGAAAUUGAGAACAGCUGGUCAACGGAUUUUCUUAUAUUUGAGCAUGAUUAUAGAGGACCAUAGACAACCCUUUGGUCAUGAAAAGGGCUAUCCCUGUUUCAUGUGUCAGGCGAGGAAAAAACCUGAGUCCCAAAGAAGUCAUGGGAAAGACAGCGCAUUCAAAUGUACCAGAGAACAAGAUCAGAAACAUAUAGACUGGGAAGCGCCACUGUCUGAAGUUGGAAGCCCAGGAAAGCUGAAGAACCAGCAUGCCUGCAGAAUGCAGCUGGGUCCGAGGUGAUGGCAGCGGUGUCUGUAGCAACAGGAGCAGUGACAAUCUGAGCACAGGAGUCACAUGGGAAGAGGAAGCGUCUGGCAGGAGUGUGG